CCCAUGCUGGGUUUCCAAAGCAGGUCUGAACAUGCCCUCUCAUCCCCCCCUCUGGCCUAUAUAAGCUUGGGCCACCACUGGCCAGUUGUGGGUCAGAAGAAGCUGGAGAAAGUCAUCAUCAAGGAGUUCGGUGGACUGUUCAACAUCAUUAUCAGAGACAUUCACUUUCAUCAUUGCCGUGCGUCGAUAAGAUUAAACCACGGAUUCUAUCAGUCAGUUCACUGUCAUUCACGGAUUCAAGUGUGGAUAUGAGUCCUUUACACGGAUAAUCAUAUUCACAGUCCAUUAUCAUUCAAUUCAAGGCUUGAGUGUGUGUUUUCAAUAAACAUCAGUGUUUUCAUCAUCA